rnacentral:tRNA from 1 species
GGGUGAGCGCCGAAGUUGGAGAGUCGGAACGGACUGUAAAUCCGUCGCCACUGGCUGAGUUGGUUCGAAUCCAACCUCACCCACCA